AUAAGAUAAAUUUGGCUUUGGGGCUAGGAAGGGCUGGGGCCGGGGUGUUUUGCUUUUUGUUCCAGGAAACAUCGGCAAAGACAUUUGUAAAACAAGUAGUAAAUUGCGAAUUAGCAACAAUUAAUCUCCAAAAAUGCGUUUUCCUUUCAACAACCGUACGAUCGGACCGACAAAAGCAGGUCUCUCCAGGUCUAUCCCGCUUUGCCACCAUGACUUGUGUCUAGAAUCACACGUGGAAGUCACUUUCUACGUCCUGCUGGCCUGAUUUCCGUUCUAUACUAUUGGAAGUGAAUGGUUGUUCAAACACUGCAACUAGUACAAUGACUACUUGUUUUUUGCAGUCAAUCAAGAGGGAUUUUUGUUUGUUUUUGUUGGACGUAGGGUUUGUAUUUUAGCGUUCAGACUGACCCACAAUGCCUUUGGAUCCAUCCCUUCUACGAAACAAUUAACAAGUAAUAAUUGCCUAAACUUAUGCUCAACAGUUAUUAGAAUUAUCACCGUUUAAAUGUCACCGCAUUCUUCAUGAAUUCAGCUUCGUUGACUAACGAAAUGUAUGCUAUAAAAAGGAAGAUCAAUAUGACGUUACCUAUGUAAACUCAUCGAAAAACGAAAAAGCGUUUGUUGUUUAAUAAAUGUCGAUAAAGUAUAUA